UGUUGUAACUAUCUGGAUGAGUGGGUGCUGAGCUGGAAUUUCAAGAGUAAUGAGAAAACCACAUUUCUAGCCAUUGUUCGAGAUAAGGGGGCUUUGCUUGGCUUGAGCCGAGUAUCGAGUUAAGCGGUUGUCUGGUCGAGCUUGAGGACUAUGUUAAAUAGGUUGGGUGUCAUUUAAUCGAUCUCAGAGAUUAGUUGCUUCAUUCUAUUUGGCUUGGCCGUCUAAUUAGCAAAAAUUAGCUUGAUUUGAUCAUGUUGAGGGG
rnacentral:lncRNA from 1 species